rnacentral:lncRNA from 1 species
CCCUUGGCAGCCUUUGCCCACACACGUGUAAUUACCAUUGCGAUGUGGUGAUUAAUGACAAUAAUUACCAUGAGAUGUGGCCAGAGGGGUCAGUAGGUUUGUAAAGAGCAGGAAGACUGAGUCCCCACAGCAGCUCACACACACCAUACUGCCCUCUGCAACAAACAUAGGUGGCAACUGGUGUCACUGGCUUGAAAGGGCUUGGGUUGUGGUCAGAGGGCUUGGAGGAUGACUCGGACUCCGCUGCCAUUAGCUACAUGAUCUUAUGGUACUAUUUGAUCUCUUUGGGUUUUACUUCCUCACUUAAACGGCACAGCUAGUGACAGUUGGCUCUAUUUACCAACGCAGAGCCCAUGUACACGUGGGAAGAGUACACAGAGUGAGCUCGAGGUCAAGGUGUUAAUCUCAUAGUGCUUCCGUUUCCUCGUUGGCCAGGGGUGGGGUAUUAGCAGAGCCUACUUCCUAGGGUUAUGGUGAAGAAAGCCUGCAGAACAGUAUCUGGUAGCAAAUGUUAGUUAUUACCCACAUCCUACUGGCCUCUGUGACUCUGAGCUGGAGCCUUCUCUGUGAGGAGAUGUCUCUAGUGUGAGAAGCUCUGACAUCCAAAGGAUGAAGUUUCAUGCAAUUGCAUGAUUGCAUGAUAGUGGGUGCCUGUGGGGAGCAGCCUAGAAGGUUUAUGAGCAACUGGACUUGGGUCCCUUGGUAGCCUUGGUUGGGUCACAGGUGUUCAUCUACCAAGACUCCUGCUUCCUCCUGAAGGAGGAGGAGGGGAGCAGGGAAACUCCCUCUUCAUUCAUUCAGGAUUCUCUACAGAGGCCAAACCAGCAGUUUGUGUGUUGCUGUGGAUAAAAGUGAUGUGUUUGGCCAGGCAGUGGUGGCGCAUGCCUUUAAUCCCAGCACUUGGGAGGCAGAGGCAGGAGGAUUCCUGAGUUUGAGACCAGCCUGGUCUACAGAAUGAGUUCCAGGACGGGCUAUACAGAGAAACCCUGUCUCAAAAACAAACAAACAAACAAACAAACACAGUGAUGUGUUUGGUGUCAAAGUGACAAAGAGUGGACCUGUGAUGGCUAGUUAAUCUUCACUGUCAAUUUGACUAGGAAUCUCAUAGGAGACACGCCUCUUGCUGUGCUUGAGCAGGGUUUUCAGAGAAGUUUAAUGAACAUGGGCAGCACUAUCCAGUCGACUGGACGAAAUAAAAAUGAAAGAUGCAGGAAGCCAGCGGAACACCAGCAUUAAUUUUUCUUUGCUUCCUAAUUGUGGGUGCAAUGUAACCAGGUGCUUUCCCAUCAUGAUGGACUGUACCCUCAGACUGCGAGCCAAAGCCAACCUUCCUUCCUUGAGUUGCUUUCAGCAGGUAUGUUGCCACAGUAACAAGAGAAAGUAAUUUACAUACAGUUGCAUCCAGUUGGGGAACAGGGUAUAGAGACAGAAAUAGAUACAUAGAAGUGGACACAGAGUGGGAGAGGGAGGGCAGAAGGGAGGGAGAGGGACAGAGAGAGAGAGACAGAGACAGACAGAUAAAGAGAUAGAGAUGGAAAUAGUGACAGAGACAGUCACAGGCAGACAGAAAGAGAGAUAGUGAUAGAAAUAGUGACAGAGACAGAAAGACAGAGAGACCAAUAGACAGAGACAGAGAAAACCUAAGGCACUGGCUCACGUGUCCUUGGGUGCUAAGUGCAUCCAAAUCCGAGGAGGAAAGUUGACAGACUGAGUAAGGACCCAGGGUAUGAUGUGAUGGGGGUAUAACAGUUAUGGAGUGGGGUGC